rnacentral:rRNA from 1 species
GUAAUCGCAGAUCAGAAUGCUGCGGUGAAUACGUUCCCGGGCCUUGUACACACCGCCCGUCACACCAUGGGAGCCGGUAAUACCCGAAGUCAGUAGUCUAACCGCAAGGGGGACGCUGCCGAAGGUAGGAUUGGCGACUGGGGUGAAGUCGUAACAAGGUACC